rnacentral:rRNA from 1 species
UACGUAGGGGGCGAGCGUUGUCCGGAAUUAUUGGGCGUAAAGAGCGUGUAGGCGGUUCGGUAAGUCUGCCGUGAAAACCUGAGGCUCAACCUCGGGCGUGCGGUGGAUACUGCCGGGCUAGAGGACGGUAGAGGCGAGUGGAAUUCCCGGUGUAGCGGUGAAAUGCGCAGAUAUCGGGAGGAACACCAGUAGCGAAGGCGGCCCGCUGGGCCGUUCCUGACGCUGAGACGCGAAAGCUAGGGGAGCGAACAGG